AUUAUAUAGAAAUUCAACAACAAAAAAGUAAAGAAGACUUUGAUCGGGCAGUUCAAGAGGCCAUUAGAAAACAGAUGCCGGAUAUACUAAAGGAACUAAGGGAAGACUUACGUCGAGAGACGAUUGAGGUAAUUAACAUUUAUAUAUAAAUUAAUAUUCAUAUUUUUUUUGUAAUUUCAAUUUUUUUUUACAUUAGGGUCAGUCGAGCCAAGGACACAACACCAUAAUCACGCCUAUUAGAAGAGAUUCAAAUGUCGAAAAUAUUGGCAAGAGUCUAGGUAAAAGUCCGAGUAAAAGUGCGACGAAUAGCGUGAUAAACACCAACAGAUAGGUUCCUCUUCUUUUAUCUUUUGGUUUAGUUUUGAAUAACAUGAAUUGUAUGAAUGGUAUGUUUUAUUCUGAUGUAUGAAAUCAAUAAUUAUUUUUGAACAUUUUAUACGAG
rnacentral:lncRNA from 1 species